rnacentral:rRNA from 1 species
UACGUAGGGUGCGAGCGUUGUCCGGAAUUAUUGGGCGUAAAGGGCUCGUAGGCGGUCUGUCGCGUCGGGAGUGAAAACUCAGGGCUUAACCCUGAGCCUGCUUCCGAUACGGGCAGACUAGAGGUAUGCAGGGGAGAACGGAAUUCCUGGUGUAGCGGUGAAAUGCGCAGAUAUCAGGAGGAACACCGGUGGCGAAGGCGGAUCUCUGGGCCAUUACUGACGCUGAGGAGCGAAAGCGUGGGGAGCGAACAGG